UAACCUUGACUUCAAUGAUUUGCUUCAGUUCCUUAUUAAGUAAAGAAUCAUCAUUACGGGGAGAGAAGAACUUUUAAGUUUUACAGAAAAAAAAAAUUCCAAUCUUAUUUAAUACUUAAAGUCUUAAACAAAAAGUCAAGAAGUAAUAAAAAAGAAAGAGUCAAACAACAUUUAAUGAAGAAUAGUUGCUCAAGUGGAAAAGAAGAAAGACCUGUGCGCGUGUGUAUUACUACUAUUUAGAAGUGAACAAGAGGUGGACGAACACCGUAGUCACUUAUUAUACCAAGAGUAAUGUCAAUGGUACUUCGUACUUGGGCCCAUCUGAUUGGAUAGAUACCUUUUAAUCUAUUCCUGCUAACACGUGUAUUACUCCUUAGUUUUAAGCAAACGACGCGAACUAUUCUUGUAUGAUUUCUUCGAUGUUAUCUCUAGAGGUAUCUUUGAUCAAAUUCUCUCAUUCCACGACUCUAGUUCAGACUUUUCAGAUUUUCCUCUGCUUCUCUCUCUUCUUCACUCUUUCAAACUAUCAUCUCUCUUUUUAAAUAAUCUUUGUUCUUGCGGUGACUGUUUGGGGAAGAGGCGAAUCCAGGAUUUUAAGCUUGUGGGUUUCUAGUAAAAUGAACUAAUAUGCAAAUUCAGACAAAAAGACUCCAAGGGGAAUUGAUCCUACAUCAAGAACAUCGCUGAAUCAAGGUGUUCUACAAAAUUAUUAUCUAUAAGAUAAUGUCGUUGAGAACGAGGCUGGUAAUUGAAGAUUUCAUGAGUGGAUUCUGUUGCUGAGGUGAGCCACCGCAUUGUUCGUGGAGGCAGCCAUUUCAGCUUUAUCUAGUUUUUAUCUAGUUAUUUCUUUUAUUUUGGGUUUACAUGCCCGACACUCAAACUCAUGUAACUCUGUUAGAUGCUCCAUGGUCUUAGCAUGGGAUGUGGGCUAGAGAUUCUUUUUAUCUUAGCGUUGUUUGAUCUUCAUAAAUCGAUUAUGGAUUUGGUUGGUGACUAUUUCGUAUUUUUAUCAUUAAUAACA